rnacentral:rRNA from 1 species
UACGAAGGGGGGCUAGCGUUGCUCGGAAUCACUGGGCGUAAAGGGUGCGUAGGCGGGUCUUUUAAGUCAGGGGUGAAAUCCUGGAGCUCAACUCCAGAACUGCCUUUGAUACUGAAGAUCUUGAGUUCGGGAGAGGUGAGUGGAACUGCGAGUGUAGAGGUGAAAUUCGUAGAUAUUCGCAAGAACACCAGUGGCGAAGGCGGCUCACUGGCCCGGAUACUGACGCUGAGGCACGAAAGCGUGGGGAGCAAACAGGG